GCGCACCACCCUCAACUCGGAUCGUCCGGCACGUUCCUGCCGGUGAAGGGAUCGAUCG
rfam:Rhodococcus sp. MTM3W5.2, complete genome.